rnacentral:rRNA from 1 species
UACGUAGGGUGCAAGCGUUGUCCGGAAUUAUUGGGCGUAAAGAGCUCGUAGGCGGUUCGUCGCGUCGGCUGUGAAAACCUGAGGCUCAACCUCAGGCCUGCAGUCGAUACGGGCGGACUUGAGUACUGCAGGGGAGACUGGAAUUCCUGGUGUAGCGGUGAAAUGCGCAGAUAUCAGGAGGAACACCGAUGGCGAAGGCAGGUCUCUGGGCAUUAACUGACGCUGAGGAGCGAAAGCAUGGGGAGCGAACAGG